rnacentral:rRNA from 1 species
AAGUCGUAACAAGGUAGCCGUAUCGGAAGGUGCGGCUGGAAUACCUCCUUUUUAGAGCUCAUU